UACGUAGGGACCAAGCGUUGUUCGGAUUUACUGGGCGUAAAGGGCGCGUAGGCGGCAAUUCAAGUCAUCUGUGAAAUCUCCGGGCUUAACUCGGAACGGUCAGAUGAUACUGCUUUGCUAGAGUGCGGAAGGGGCAAUCGGAAUUCUUGGUGUAGCGGUGAAAUGCGUAGAUAUCAAGAGGGACACCUGAGGUGAAGACGGGUUGCUGGGCCGACACUGACGCUGACAGCGCGAAAGCCAGGGGAGCAAACGGG
rnacentral:rRNA from 1 species